CAUAGGGGGCCUCACAGGCUUUUGGAUUUUGGGCCGUUCGAUCGAGCUAAUGUGGCGCGAUCUCGGCCGACCGUUCGUCCAGGGCGCUGAGGCCCUCCCGCAGACCCACUUUUUAUCCAUGGAUCCUGUGAAAGCCCUCCCGGCCCAGUCUCGCGUCGCACGAGUAUAAAACUGACAACCCGCGGUGAAAACCCUAACUGGACCCGCACCCCUCCGCGUCUCCUCUUCGUCGUUCUCCUCGCGAGAGGCGGCGGCGUCUCCGCCUCGCUCCUCCGCUUCAGCUCGAGUUCUCCUCCUCAGCCCCCGUCCUAAAAUGAGAAUCUCACGAAGGAAACCCUAGCCCCCAGGCCUCAAUCCCUCCCGUGCUUGUGCUCCCCAAUUCCCUCCUCAGGCGGCUCAGUUCCGGCUCCCUGGCCGCCGCCCGCCCUUCUCCUCCUCCCUGCCCGACCCAUCUCGCCUCUUCUUCUCCCUCACCAACCCCAAACGACAACCCCCUCUUCCAUGUUCUUCCCCUUUCCUCGUCACCCACCUCCUGGUUGUCUCCAUGGCUGAAGCUGGGAGAGGAAAAGGGCAGAAGGACACCAUGGAUGAGGAGGUGGAGCACGAUAUGAAGGAGCACGCGGGAAGAUGGCGACCGGCACAGGGAUGCUUGGUAUUGGCCAGAAGCACGGUCCCCUGGUGGCGCUGCUGCUGCUGCUCUUCAACCCUCUUACCACAUCUCCAUCCACCAACUGCCAGCACAAUAUGACUCUUCUCAAGAACCGAUUUGUCUUCCUAGAGUAGAUCGAGAUCAACAACAUACUAUUUCGAUCCCAUCACGGCUAUUGUGGUGCCUAACAUUAUCUCCUUGUGGACCAAGGCAGCGGAACAAUCCUAGGAGGUCUCUUGCUGACUUAACUUUCAUCUGUUUGAGAACGAGGACCUCAGAAGUAACGACGGUGUGUUAAGCCGCACUGUAAGUGUCAGUUCAAAGCAGUGAACCUGGGUGCCAUGUCAGAUUUGGUGAACUUGCAUUCUCUUUUGUUCGAAUGCAUUGCAUCUUCGAUAGCUGCAAAGCAUCAGUUACAAUACUGAAACUUGAUCGUGCCAUUUCAGAUAUGCUUGCUUAUGGUUCAUAUGAUGGUAGUUUGACGGUUUGCCAGUUUUCUGACCCACCAUUGUUCUUCAAAAAUUAAUAGGACAUUAUAAAGAUAUCACAGGUGCUAAACAAUAUUUGCCCAGUCUAGGGAUGUCGAAUGUCCCAUUUGGUGGUUACAACUGUUGAAAGAUCAUGUCUACUACGUGCAAGUGCAGAGAGACAAAACCACAGAAGCAAGUAAAUGCAUUGUACAAGUUCUCUUCGUUCAGCUUCGUAUGCGCCUUUUUCAGUGGUUCUAUACUGCUGGAGAUAACUGUUGAUUUAAGAGCUUCACUACAUUAGUCCUUCGAGCUUUAUAAGAACAGUAGGUGGGCUGAAGUUAAUAUCAGGAACAACCAUUCUUCAGGUGGCAUUCCAGCAACGAUAUUGAUAGAGGAGCGAGCAUCUUCUUCAGGGGCGAGGUGGCAUUCUGCAGCGACGAGUGCAGUGAGCAGCAGGUCCACCGCACACAGCAAGGUUGCAUUCACCCACUCCAGGCAUGCUCGCUGUCUCCCUCGAACUCUACAACCUAGGGUCCAGGUGAGUGCUCUUAUAAUUUCUUGGCAUUUUUAGUUCUCUUUCUUGACUGGGUUUUACUUGCUCCCAUUGUCAGCCUUACAUGUUGGUUUCGAGUAGUUCUAUGUUGUUAAAAUUACAGGAAUAACUUUGUGUGUUAUUACGCAAAAGGCUUUAUGCACAGGUUCUAUUUCUAUGUGAACGAAACCAUGCUCAUAGUCAACCGUCAAUAGAUAGCGUGUAUUGUUCAGGUUUCCACUCCACCUAAUCAUUCAAUUUUUGUAAAUUGAUAGUGAGCACAGAUGCACGCUUGCUGGACAUUAUUUCUUCCAGGUGUUUUUCCAUCUGAUGUAGAUUACUUCUUCCAUGUCCCGAUCUAUAAUGCUGCAGCCUGACUAUUAUGUUUCUGUAUUAGAUUUGUUGUCUGAAGAUUCAACGGAUGACGGCCAGUUUGUGGAAGGUCGUCGGUGCGGGACGACCACCUCGGGCCUGGCACGGUGUGGUUGCCAGGCGCCAUGGCAUGGCGUGUUCAGCGGUGGCUUGGCAGACAUUGCUGUGGUGGUGUGCACCUUGGAGGGUGGCACUCCGUUCGCCGGGUGGUGCGAGCCGACAAUUGUGGUUUGCCUUGUGACCUGGCUUGCUGGAGCCCGAUCUGGGCCACCACGUACAUUGUGCAUGCCCCUCUUAGAAAUUGGCACUUCAUCUUAGAGAUCUAAUUCCCUCUUAUUUACUUGUUCCCAGUUAGUUAAAGAAAUAAAGUUUGUGAUUUGAAGUAUAUUAAAUGAUUGUUGUGAUUUGAAAAGCAAGCGUUAUGUUGUGAACCGGCAGGUCUAUGCUGCUUGCUUAUAAUAGAUUUUCGUACAUGAUCAAUAUAGUGAUCUACAAAGCUGUGUAUUGCUGAGGGACGGGGCGUGUGCCAAGGAUCAUGUAUUUCUUUUGUGAUGAUGAUUGACCAGGUUCUGCAACA